UGGGGAAUAUUGCACAAUGGGCGCAAGCCUGAUGCAGCCAUGCCGCGUGUAUGAAGAAGGCCUUCGGGUUGUAAAGUACUUUUAGCGGGGAGGAAGGGAGUAAAGUUAAUACCUUUGCUCAUUGACGUUACCCGUAGAAGAAGCACCGGCUAACUCCGUGCCAGCAGCCGCGGUAAUACGGAGGGUGCAAGCGUUAAUCGGAAUUACUGGGCGUAAAGCGCACGCAGGCGGUUUGUUAAGUCAGAUGUGAAAUCCCCGGGCUCAACCUGGGAACUGCAUCUGAUACUGGUAAGCUUGAGUCUCGUAGAGGGGGGUAGAAUUCCAGGUGUAGCGGUGAAAUGCAUAGAGAUCAGAAAGAAUACCGGUGGCGAAGGCGGCCCCCUAGACGAAGACUGACGCUCAGGUGCGAAAGCGUGGGGAGCAAACAGG
rnacentral:rRNA from 1 species